rnacentral:rRNA from 1 species
UACGUAGGCAGCAAGCGUUGUUCGGAGUUACUGGGCGUAAGGGUGUGUAGGCGGUUGCUUAAGUUUGGUGUGAAAUCUCCCGGCUCAACUGGGAGGGUGCGCCGAAUACUGAGUGACUAGAGUGCGGGAGAGGAAAGUGGGAAUUCCUGGUGUAGCGGUGAAAUGCGUAGAUAUCAGGAGGAACACCGGUGGUGUAGACGGCUUUCUGGACCGUAACUGACGCUGAGACACGAAAGCGUGGGUAGCAACAGG